GAGAGAGAGAGAGAGAUGAGAGAGAGGAGGCUGGUCGCACCACUCAAGAGGAGUAGGCGUGCUCGUGUGCGCUGCAUCGUUUGAUGAUCUCCCCGGUUCCCCUGAACCUCCACUCUCUGCUCUCCCUGGGUGAGGUCGGUCGAGACAAAAGGCGACUGCGUGGACUUUCCCUGGCGGAGGAGUCGAGCCCGACUUUCCGCCGGGCAGCAGAACUGCGCUCAGCGGGGCCACGCCGCGGCACUUUGGAUAAACUCCCACAGCCGAGGACCGUGCCGUGUUUCCAAAGGCGCAUCGCUUCGUCCUGCACCAGGAGCAGAGGAACACAUUGCCAUGCACGAUUUAGUCAGUCAGCAUAGGUGACUUUUUUUAAUUUCCUCCUUCAGCUUUGUCUUUUCGUUUUCUGGGGAUUCUCUGGAGGGAGGAGAACAAAAUCCACGGUGGCAGCUUAAGCCCCAAAACUCGCUGUGUGCGCGCGGGGAGGGUAUUUUCUUUUUGCCCAAGAUGCAGGUGGACCGGAGCCGUGUGGUUUCCAGUGCGUGGUGUGCGUGUCUGCUUUUACUUUACUCAACUAUAAGCACCAGGGUCACUGAGGUGGGAGCCACCCACCAAAGCAUCCCCCCGUCCGUGGUGAAGCUUUGGGCUUCAGCGUUUGGUGGAGAGAUGAAGUCCAUCUCUGCAAAGUACUCCGGCUCCCAGCUGCUGCAGAAGAAAUACAAGGAGUUUGAGCGGGCGGUGCGGGUGGAGGAGAUUGAUGGGCUGCGGCUGGUGAAGAGGCUGGCGGAGGACAUGGAGGAGAUGUUUCACAAGAAGGCACAGGCGAUGAAGAGACUGGUGGAGGCAGCAGAGGAAGCCCACCUGCAGCACGAGGAGGAUCCAGACCUACAGUAUGAAUACUUCAAUGCAGUGCUGAUCAAUGAGGUGGAUGAGGAGGGGAACAGCGUAGAGCUUGGAGGAGAAUUCAUCCUGCAACCCAAUGACCACUUUAACAACCUGUCAGUCAACCUCAGCCUCAGCACGGUCCAGGUACCCACCAACAUGUAUAACAAAGAUUCUGCAAUUGUCAACGGUGUGUUCUGGUCUGAGGCCUUGAAUAAAGUGUUCGUGGAUAACUUUGAGAGAGACCCAUCGCUCAUAUGGCAGUACUUUGGCAGUGCUAAAGGAUUUUUCAGGCAAUACCCAGGAAUCAAGUGGAAGCCAGACGAACACGGGGUCAUCGCCUUCGACUGCCGUAACCGGAAGUGGUACAUCCAGGCUGCCACCUCCCCGAAAGACGUGGUGAUCCUGGUGGAUGUUAGCGGCAGCAUGAAAGGCCUCAGGCUGACCAUUGCCAGACAGACGGUCUCCUCCAUCCUGGACACUCUUGGAGAUGAUGAUUUUUUCAACAUCAUCGCUUACAAUGAGGAACUUCAUUACGUGGAACCGUGUCUGAACGGAACUCUGGUCCAGGCAGACGUCCCCAACAAAGACCACUUCCGGGAGCACCUGGACAAGCUGUUCGCUCAAGGCAUUGGUAUGUUGGACAUAGCUCUGACUGAGGCCUUCAAUCUUCUGAGUGACUUCAACGAGACUGGCCGGGGCAGUGAGUGCAGCCAAGCCAUUAUGUUGGUGACAGAUGGGGCAGUGGACACGUAUGAUGCCAUCUUUGCCAAAUAUAACUGGCCAGACAGGAAGGUCCGCAUAUUCCCGUACCUGAUUGGUCGAGAGUCAGCCUUCGCAGAUAAUCUGAAAUGGAUGGCGUGUGCUAACAAAGGAUACUUCACUCAGAUUUCCACAUUGGCCGACGUGCAGGAGAAUGUGAUGGAGUAUCUCCACGUCCUGAGUCGUCCCAAGGUGAUCGACCAGGAGCACGACACAGUGUGGACUGAGGCCUACAUCGACAGCACCAUGGAGGACGGUCAGAGUCCAGUUCUGGUGACCACGGUGGCAAUGCCUGUGUUCAGCACCAAGAAUGAGACGAGAAACCGUGGCAUCCUUCUAGGGGUUGUUGGGACAGAUGUGCCCGUGUCCGAGCUGCUCAAGACCAUCCCCAAAUAUAAGCUGGGCAUUCACGGUUACGCCUUUGCAAUCACCAACAAUGGCUACAUCCUUACGCACCCAGAUCUACGGCCACUUUACGGGGACGGCAAAAAGCGGAGGAAGCCAAACUACAGCAGUGUGGAUCUGUCUGAGGUGGAAUGGGAGGAUAAGGACGACACGCUGAGAAAUGCCAUGGUCAACAGGAAGACGGGGAUCUUCUCCAUGGAGGUGAAGAAGAGCGUCGACAAAGGGAAGCGUGUGUUGGUGCUGCAUAAUGAUUACUACUACACAGAUAUCAAGGGGACGCCUUUCAGUCUAGGUGUAGCUCUUUCCAGAGGCCACGGGAAGUUUUUCUUCAGAGGGAACGUCACCGUGGAGGAAGGACUUCAUGACUUGGAGCAUCCUGAUGUAGAGCUGGCAGACGAAUGGACUUACUGCAACACAGACGAGCACCCGGAACAUCGCUACCUGUCCCAGAUAGAGGCGAUCAAACUCUACCUCAGUGGCCACGAACCCCACCUGCAAUGUGACAAGGAGCUGAUUCAGGAGGUUCUCUUCGAUGCGGUAGUCACUGCCCCUUUGGAGGCCUACUGGACCAGCAUGGUGCUCAAUAAGUCUGAGAACUCUGAUAAAGGAGUGGAGAUCGCGUACCUCGGCACAAGAACAGGCCUUUCCAGAAUCAAUCUGUUUGUGGUGCCUGACCAGCUCACAAACCAAGACUUCCUGACAGCUGAAGACAAAGAGGGGGUGUUCAACGCCGAUCACUUUCCCCUCUGGUACAAGAGAGCGGCAGAACAAGUUCCUGGUACCUUCGUCUACUCUCUACCUUUCAACACAGGAUCAGAAAACAAGAGUGUUGUAUUGGCCAGCACUGCCAUUCAGCUUCUGGAUGAGAGGAAAUCACCCAUAGCUGCGGCUGUGGGUAUCCAGAUGAAACUGGAGUUCUUUCAGAGGAAGUUCUGGACAGCCAGCAGACAGUGUGCAGCUUUGGAUGGGAAAUGCUCCAUCAGCUGUGAUGAUGAGAAUAUCAACUGCUACCUCAUCGACAACAAUGGCUUCGUCCUGGUGGCCGAGGACUAUACUCUGACGGGGAAGUUUUUUGGAGAAGCAGAGGGAGCUGUAAUGAGUAAGCUUCUGCAGAUGGGCUCUUUUAAGAGGGUCACUCUGUACGACUACCAGGCUCUUUGUUGGGUUUUUUCAGAGAGCAGCGGCAGUGGACACACACUGCUGGAUCCUUACUUUGCUUUCUUCUCAGCCGUGAAGUGGAUCCUGACCGAGCUUGUCAUAUUCCUGCUCGAGUUCAACUUGUACAGCUGGUGGUAUUCUGACAUCACAGUUAAAGCUCAGAGGAUAGGUCGGACCACGCAGGUACCAUGUGACACCGAGUACCCGGCCUUCGUCUCUGAGAGAACCAUCAAAGAGAACACAGGCAACAUCGAUUGUGACGGCUGCAUCAAGUCCUUUGUGAUCCAGCAGAUCCCCAGCAGUAAUCUCUUCAUGGUGGUGGUGGACAGCAAGUGCGACUGCAGCAUGUUCGAGCCAAUCACCAUGGACCCCAUCGAAAUCAUGUAUAAUGAAUCUCUUAAGUGCGAGAGAUUGAAGAUGCAAAAGGACAGGAGGCGCCCAGAUACCUGUCACCCCUUUCACCCUGAGGAAAACUCGAUGGAGUGCGGAGGCGUUGGUUCUCUCGCUCCGUCUCUCGCGGCGACGCUGCUCUGCGUCCUGCUGGCCCUGUUCCCCAGGUGACCAGAGCUGGCCACGCCUCUCCAUCCAGCACUCGACUUGGAUCGGCUUGGCUCUGCAGACAAAAGAAUCGCAUCGAUGCCACAGAAAAAGAGCACUCCUGCUGCCCCUAAUAAAAUUGUGCCCAAUUUCAACUCACCACCUACAAAGCCCAGAGGCGCGUCCCCACAAGUCCUUUCAGGUAGCAGCUAAGGGCUUGGUUCUGUAGCUGGGCUUGGAACUGGGCAUUAGAGCCACGUAACACCAAUGCGGAGAAAGACAGACGCACCUUUCCUCUGCCCACUCUGACUUUUCAUGGACAAUAAUGAUUCAGAAGAAAAAAAAAAUACUAAUACUGAAGAUGACUAUAUGUGGCUGGGGGUUGUAAUGGGGUUGUAAUGAUCUUUUUUCAUGUUGAGAAAAAAAAAACCAAGUUCUGGUAUAAAUAUGAAGAAAAAGAGUUUUAUUUAUGAUUUGCAAGUGGUACCCAUAAACUGUGACUAUGAGAUUUUGAGUCCUCUGAUGUGAGUGGUUAUUAAUAUUUGAGCUUUGCCUUAUUGAACGAUAUUGGUCCUGUUUGUGUACUUUUGAAAUAAAAUGAUGUAUAAAAUCGA